GGAAGAGAGAAUUUGAGAGCGAACAAGAGAUGAAUGGCUCGAUUUCUGUCUGUAUUUUGCUUUCCCUUUUGAUUCUUUCUCCGGCUUCGUCUUUGGCUGGAAUCUUCGAUCAUCCUCGUCUUCCGCUUUCCAAUUUUCCGUCCACCCAGCCCGAGAAGCUGAUCAGGCAACUCAAUCUGUUUCCUAAAUCUGAUGCCAAUAUCAUCCAUAGGAAUUUCGAAAAUUCCUCUCUGAUCGCCGUCGGAGGGAAGAAAAUCGUUGAGAGGCGGUUGAGAUUCCCUAUCUUUGAUGAUUCUGGGGUUUCUUUGGAGGAAUUGGGCCACCAUGCUGGAUAUUACAAAAUCGAGCAUUCUCAUGCUGCUAGGUUGUUCUACUUUUUCUUUGAGUCCCGCAACAGCAAAACAGAUCCUGUCGUUAUCUGGUUAACUGGAGGCCCAGGAUGCAGUAGUGAAUUGGCUAUGUUUUACGAAAACGGUCCUUUUAAAAUUACUAAUAACUUGUCACUUGUUUGGAAUGAAU
rnacentral:misc_RNA from 1 species